rnacentral:lncRNA from 1 species
AAAUCUCUAUGAGGACCAGAGACCAAACCCUCUAGAAAGUACGGAUAAACAAGAUUAAAAAAAAAAAAAAUAUUGCAACUUGCCAUUUAUUACAAAUUUUUAAAUCAUUUUUUAAAUGAAGAAAAUGAUGAGAUGGGAAGCUCUGGACCUUUCGCUAUUGGAGGAGCUGCCAGUGGUGGCGGUGCAUUUUGGACGCUUCUGUUGAGACCUCCUCCUCUUACUCCAAUUUUCUCUCCCGAUUCAGUCAAUUAACUGAAUCUCAGGUAUUUUCGGCGAUCGUUUGACCUUUUUCCGGUCAGGAAUUUACCCUGUUUUUGCUGAAGUUACCUGGAUGGUGACUAGUGAUUAUAUGACCGUGAACAGCAAUGCGUUUAGCAAGAUGGAAGACGACUACAUCAGGAGGCACCACAAGCAUGAGGUUAAAGACCACCAGUGUAGCUCUUCUCUAGUUAAACACAUCAAAGCGCCAGUUCAUCUCGUAAGCCUUUGGUUUUCCGAUUUUUUAAGCAAAAUUUCUGUUUAGGUUAAUCGAUUUAUUGUUUGUAGAUCCGAUGCUAUUUUAUAUUAUAAUUGAUUGUCUAAUUUAUCUGGAUUUUAACUUUAGGCUUGUUUGUAAUAUAGUGCUUGUGGUAUUUGAACAAUUAGGUGUGGUCUCUGGUGAGGAGAUUUGAUCAGCCGCAGAGGUAUAAGCCUUUCAUAAGUAGGUGCAUUGUACAGGGAGACCUUCAGAUUGGUAGUGUUAGGGAGGUGAAUGUUAAGUCGGGGCUUCCAGCUACCACUAGCACUGAACGAUUGGAGCUAUUAGAUGAUGAGGAGCAUAUAUUUAGGAUGACAAUUGUUGGAGGAGAUCAUAGGCUUAAGGUAUGAACAUUUUGAUCAUUUUUUGUGUGUAUUUGUGGCGUGAGUUUGAUUUGCAUUCUUGAAUGUUGUCGAAUCUCUCAGUGUUUGAGGUGUUCAACAAAGCAUUGGUAGGAACUCAAAAUUCGUCAUGAAAUUGAUAGGAUUGAGAAUUCGAUAUGAUGCAAAUAUCAGUCUAUAACCUUGGCUAUGAGAACUUGUGGUGUUGCAUUACUUCGUGGAUGGAAAGGCAUUUUUUCUUUCUCUAAGAUACAGUAAUAAUUUGGAAAAUUUGUGCCACAAGUUGCUAAGUUAAGUUUUUGUUGAGUAAUAAAGUGAUCUAGUUGCAGCUUGCAGGGACAAUGAGAUAAGAAUAAUCAUGUGAAACUUUCCAGUUUGAUCCACUUGGGAAAGUCAAAAUGUUAAAUCAUCAUGGGUUUCUAUGAUUUAAAAACUUCCAAAAGAAAUUUGAUUUUGACAGAACUAUAUUUUUGUUUCAUGUUAUGACAUUCACUAGAUAAUAUGAAAUUUCCUAUGAUAAUCAGCUAGAAUUAUUCAGUGUUUUUCCUUCUUGAAAUUUGCAUCUAAGGAUGCUUAUUGAAUCUUUACAGCAUACACAACUUUUGCAGCAGAUUCGUUAUUUUCUGUUUGCUGGCCAUGUUUAUAGGCUGAUAAGUUUGUCAAAUUUUUAAAUCAUUUUUUAAAUGAAGAAAAUGAUGAGAUGGGAAGCUCUGGACCUUUCGCUAUUGGAGGAGCUGCCAGUGGUGGCGGUGCAUUUUGGACGCUUCUGUUGAGACCUCCUCCUCUUACUCCAAUUUUCUCUCCCGAUUCAGUCAAUUAACUGAAUCUCAGGUAUUUUCGGCGAUCGUUUGACCUUUUUCCGGUCAGGAAUUUACCCUGUUUUUGCUGAAGUUACCUGGAUGGUGACUAGUGAUUAUAUGACCGUGAACAGCAAUGCGUUUAGCAAGAUGGAAGACGACUACAUCAGGAGGCACCACAAGCAUGAGGUUAAAGACCACCAGUGUAGCUCUUCUCUAGUUAAACACAUCAAAGCGCCAGUUCAUC